rnacentral:tRNA from 1 species
GGGCCGCUAGCUCAGAUGGUAGAGCAACAGCCUUUUAAGCUGUGGGUCGUUGGUUCGAGUCCAACGCGGCUCACCA